CCUACGGGUGGCAGCAGUGGGGAAUAUUGGACAAUGGGGGCAACCCUGAUCCAGCCAUGCCGCGUGUGUGAAGAAGGCCCUCGGGUUGUAAAGCACUUUCAGUGAGGAAGAACGCCUGGUGGUUAAUACCCAUUAGGAAAGACAUCACUCACAGAAGAAGCACCGGCUAACUCCGUGCCAGCAGCCGCGGUAAUACGGAGGGUGCGAGCGUUAAUCGGAAUUACUGGGCGUAAAGCGCGCGUAGGUGGCUUGAUAAGCCGGUUGUGAAAGCCCCGGGCUCAACCUGGGAACGGCAUCCGGAACUGUCAAGCUAGAGUGCAGGAGAGGAAGGUAGAAUUCCCGGUGUAGCGGUGAAAUGCGUAGAGAUCGGGAGGAAUACCAGUGGCGAAGGCGGCCUUCUGGACUGACACUGACACUGAGGUGCGAAAGCGUGGGUAGCAAACAGGAUUAGAUACCCGAGUAGUC
rnacentral:rRNA from 1 species